AUUCAGCCGAAGAGACUCAAACAGGACGAAAUGAGCAUCCUGGAU
rnacentral:hammerhead_ribozyme from 1 species